ACCAGGGUGAGUGUAAGCUGCAAGUCAGUGAGCAGAGUGACGAUUGUCUAGGAAUUCUGAAUAAUGACUGCACUAACUUACUCUGCAGGUCUCUUCUUGUGCCUUAUAUUUUGUUCACAUAUCAUGCCUGUAAAAUUAGGUGAACAAGACAAGGAACCUUGUAGAGGAGUGUUUCUUGCCACUGAACAAAUCCAAAAUCAACACCUAGAAAUUGCCAACAAGGGUGACAGGUUCUGCCGUC